GACGAACGCUGGCGGCGUGCCUAAUACAUGCAAGUCGAGCGAACAGAAAAGGAGCUUGCUCCUUUGACGUUAGCGGCGGACGGGUGAGUAACGCGUGGGCAACCUACCCUAUAGUUUGGGAUAACUCCGGGAAACCGGGGCUAAUACCGAAUAAUGUCUUUUGCUUCAUGGUGAAAGACUGGAAGACGGUUUCGGCUGUCGCUAUAGGAUGGGCCCGCGGCGCAUUAGCUAGUUGGUGAGGUAACGGCUCACCAAGGCGACGAUGCGUAGCCGACCUGAGAGGGUGAUCGGCCACACUGGGACUGAGACAUGGCCCAGACUCCUACGGGAGGCAGCAGUAGGGAAUCUUCCACAAUGGGCGAAAGCCUGAUGGAGCAACGCCGCGUGAGUGAAGAAGGUUUUCGGAUCGUAAAACUCUGUUGUAAGGGAAGAACAAGUACAGUAGUAACUGGCUGUACCUUGACGGUACCUUAUUAGAAAGCCACGGCUAACUACGUGCCAGCCGCCGCCGUAA
rnacentral:rRNA from 1 species